GAUGAACGCUGGCGGCGUGCCUAAUACAUGCAAGUCGAGCGAAGCGGGGACGGGUGAGUAACACGUGGAUAACCUCCUAUAAGACUGGGAUAAAUUCGGGAAACCGGAGCUAAACCGGAUAAUUAUAGAUGGAUCCGCGCUGUAUUAGCUAGUUGGUAAGGUAACGGCUUACCAGGGCAAUGAUGCAUAGCCGACCUGUGAGGGUGUUCGGCCCCACUGGAACUGAGACACGGUCCAGACUCCUACGGGAGGUAGCAUUUGGUAAUCUUCCGCAAUGGGCGACAGCCUGACGGAGCCACGCCGCGUGAGUGAUGAAGGUCUUCGGGUCGUAAAGCUCUGUUAUUAGGGAAGCGGUACCUGAUCAGAAAGCCACGGCUAACUACGUGCCAGCAGCCGCGGUAAUUC
rnacentral:rRNA from 1 species